GUAAUCGCAGGUCAGCAUACUGCGGUGAAUACGUUCCCGGGUCUUGUACACACCGCCCGUCACACCACGAGAGUUUGUAACACCCGAAGUCGGUGAGGUAACCUUAGGGAGCCAGCCGCCGAAGGUGGGACAGAUGAUUGGGGUGAAGUCGUAACAAGGUAGCCGUAUCGGAAGGUGCGGCUGGAUCACCUCCUUUCUAAGGAA
rnacentral:rRNA from 1 species